rnacentral:lncRNA from 10 species
UUUUCCAGAUGUAUUCGGAAGGAAGUGACAUUGUACCUCAGAGUAAUGAGACAGCUCUCCACUACUUUAAGAAAGCUGCUGACAUGGGCAACCCAGUUGGACAGAGUGGGCUUGGAAUGGCCUACCUCUAUGGGAGAGGAGUUCAAGUUGUAAGUGUUCAGUCUGACAUUCUCUCUUUAAUGAGCAGUCAGCUGGAGAGGUAGGGACAUGUUCCUUAAUUAGCUUCCAGUCAGCCCAGGUGGGGCUGUUCCAUUGUAAGCAAAGCUGAACCUCUUUCUGUUGUCUGAGUUUGUCUCACUACCACCCCAUACCCGACAGACACCAUCUCAACUGUCUUAGAACAGCUCUGUGUCUGGCACUUUCUCCCAGAGGUAUGGAGUUGUUUCUUGUUCUUCCAUCUCUGCUCUCUACCCCACGUCCUCUAACCAUCUCUCAGGACUUAAACAUCUCCUUGCCUGCUUUUUUACUCAAUCCUGACAAAAUGCAUAACUGCCUUCCAUUGAGGAGGAGGAAAGCUUUCUGUUCUGCCCUUUACCCCUUCUAGCUACCACCUGUCUUCUCCCAGCCCUUCACUCAGAGUCAAACUAAGCUGCUGUCAUUCACU